GGCCAAGUUUUUAAGGGCGCACGGUGGAUGCCUUGGCACCAGGAACCGAUGAAGGACGUGGGAGGCCACGAUAGUCCCCGGGGAGUCGUCAACCAGGCUUUGAUCCGGGGGUUUCCGAAUGGGGAAACCCGGCAGUCGUCAUGGGCUGUCACCCACAUCUGAACACAUAGGGUGUGUGGAGGGAACGCGGGGAAGUGAAACAUCUCAGUACCCGCAGGAAGAGAAAACAACCGUGAUUCCGGGAGUAGUGGCGAGCGAAACCGGAUGAGGCCAAACCGUAUACGUGUGAGACCCGGCAGGGGUUGCGUAUGCGGGGUUGUGGGAUCUCUCUUUCACAGUCUGCCGGCUGUGAGGCGAGUCAGAAACCGUUGAUGUAGGCGAAGGACAUGCGAAAGGUCCGGCGUAGAGGGUAAGACCCCCGUAGUCGAAACAUCAACGGCUCGUUUGAGAGACACCCAAGUAGCACGGGGCCCGAGAAAUCCCGUGUGAAUCUGGCGGGACCACCCGUUAAGCCUAAAUAUUCCCUGGUGACCGAUAGCGGAUAGUACCGUGAGGGAAUGGUGAAAAGUACCGCGGGAGCGGAGUGAAAUAGUACCUGAAACCGUGUGCCUACAAGCCGUGGGAGCGUCGCUCAUCAAGCUUUGCUUGGUGGGUCGUGACUGCGUGCCUUUUGAAGAAUGAGCCUGCGAGUUUGCGGUGUGUUGCGAGGUUAACCCGUGUGGGGAAGCCGUAGCGAAAGCGAGUCCGAAUAGGGCGAUUCAGUAGCGCGCUCAAGACCCGAAGCGGAGUGAUCUAGCCAUGGGCAGGUUGAAGCGGAGGUAAGACUUCGUGGAGGACCGAACCCACCAGGGUUGAAAACCUGGGGGAUGACCUGUGGUUAGGGGUGAAAGGCCAAUCAAACUCCGUGAUAGCUGGUUCUCCCCGAAAUGCAUUUAGGUGCAGCGUCGUGUGUUUCUUGCCGGAGGUAGAGCACUGGAUAGGCGAUGGGCCCUACCGGGUUACUGACCUUAGCCAAACUCCGAAUGCCGGUAAGUGAGAGCACGGCAGUGAGACUGUGGGGGAUAAGCUCCAUGGUCGAGAGGGAAACAGCCCAGAGCAUCGACUAAGGCCCCUAAGCGUACGCUAAGUGGGAAAGGAUGUGGAGUCGCACAGACAACCAGGAGGUUGGCUUAGAAGCAGCCACCCUUGAAAGAGUGCGUAAUAGCUCACUGGUCUAGUGAUUCCGCGCCGACAAUGUAGCGGGGCUCAAGCGUACCGCCGAAGUCGUGUCAUUCACACAAUAGGGCCAACGCCUGUGUGGAUGGGUAGGGGAGCGUCGUGUGCCGGGUGAAGCUGCAGCGGAAGCUAGUGGUGGACGGUUCACGAGUGAGAAUGCAGGCAUGAGUAGCGAUACACACGUGGGAAACGUGUGCGCCGAUUGACUAAGGGUUCCUGGGUCAAGCUGAUCUGCCCAGGGUAAGUCGGGACCUAAGGCGAGGCCGACAGGCGUAGUCGAUGGAUAACCGGUUGAUAUUCCGGUACCCGCUGUGAAGCGUCAAACAUUGAACCAGGCGAUGCUAAGUCCGUGAAGCCGCCCCGGAGCC
rfam:Streptomyces turgidiscabies Car8 gcontig_1113219320901, whole genome shotgun sequence.